AAUUGUUAAACUUGAUAAUAAAUCUCAAAAAAACAGGAUACCUAACCUUCGUAUAAUUGAAUCGGUACAAAAAUCAAUAGUUAAACGAGAUCAGGUUAUCAUUUAUUUUACGAAAAAUGAACGUAAAUUAUUGUACUAUCUAUAUAAAUCUAAGGGUAAAUGUGUUUCAAGGAGAGAACUGUGUCAAUUAAUGUGGGGAGAGGAAAUAAGCAAUUCUUCCCUGAGUCAAUUAUCUACAUUAGUAGCACAUGUGCGAGAAAAAUUAACCCAUGUCGGGUUUGAGGAGUUAUGGAUAAAAACGAUUUGGGGGAGAGGCUAUAUUUUAAGUGAUGAAUUUAUCGACUAUUUGUCUCAAAAUAAUACUUUCAGUAAAGGUCGUGUGUCUAAAUUAUUGUAGAUUUGGAAAUACAUUUCGUUAAAAAAGAUUUAAAACAAUAUAAUAAGUGUUGUGCUACAUAGUUAGUAAUGCAGCGAAAAAUUUAACCGAAGCUAGCGAUUGCUAACUUUGGUUAAAUUUCAAAAAUACAACUGAUUAGAAACUUCUGAUAGUCUACUUUCUGUAAGUAUUUAUAUACAAAAUCUUUUAUUUAGAAUGAAUAGGGAUCUGAAAUAUAAGAUUUUUUGAUGGAGAAAACCAGGAUGAUUUAAUAGUUAUUCAUAUACAUAUGACUCAACACGAAAUAGAUGGUGAUUAACAGAGAGUUAUCCAAAUUAUUAUAUAUAGAAAUAAUUCAAAAUUAUUUUAAAGAAAUUCUAACUUUUCACUCGAUAAAAUAUAGUGUAAAAACGCAACUUGAUUCAGAGGAUGAAAAUGAAGUGUUCAGAUAUGAGUUGAAAAAUACUUAUUUCAAUUGAUUGAGUAAAGCUGUUUUAUCAUUAUUAGUAAUAUGAAGAUUUUUAUAUCAGACUUAGAGAAAAGCUUUACUACACUCUUGUUAACUAUAAUGCUUUUAGCGAGAAAUAAUACCUAAAGUGUAAGCUAAAAAUUUAUCAUAUUUAAAAAAUAAAUUUCAAAGUUAUCGUCCAGUUUCAUACAGUCCUUUUGUUUUUAAUAAUGAAAGGGGAAGAGAGAAUAUGGAUAUUCGUGAUGAAAAAUGUCAUGUGUAUGAACAGCUGAAACUGUUAAUGGAGGAAAGGAGGGAACUUUCAAGACAGUAUUAUGAUUUAAAAGAGUACUUGAUUCAUUUAGAAGAAGACAAGAUUGUUUCGGAUUCUAGUGAUGAACUAUCUCAAGAAACUAAAUUUUCAAAUUUCAAAAGUGAAAAAGUGCUUCAGGAUUAUUUAAUUCAGCGAAAAAUGAUUGGCACU
rnacentral:misc_RNA from 1 species